AAUUUCGUUGUAUUGAAUUCUUGAAUUCUCUUGCAAUAUUCGAUAAUGCAAACAUACACAUAUUCUAUUUGAAUUCUAAUCAUUACGGAAAAACACAUCUCUCAGUGAUUUCCUAGCACAUUUCAGACAACUAUUUAGAAAAACACUAUUCUGUACAGGGGUUUAUUAUCAAAGUUGAUAAUAGCAUUACAGGCAAUAAUCAUCCAAAAACUUAAAGCAUUCAAGCUGCGGUUCGCCGCAAUAGUCCGGAACGCUAACAGCAAGGUAUUGAAGAGUGAUCUGGUUUGGAGGAUGACGCACUUUUAUUUCAUAUAACCUAUAAAAUAUUUUCCGUGCCUUUGGGAUAACAUGUUUAGAUUAUCUGAAAAGUAUCUGGUCUGAACGUGAAGAUAACAGCACUUGUAUGACCCAAAUUUCUGCUAUUUGGACAAGCUAUUGUUUUUUGAAGUGUAAGUGCGAAAAUUUGAGUAACGGGCUGUCAAUAAAUAUUUGCAUUUAGCAAAAGCAACGGGAGUUCUGCAUCACGUGUUCCUACGCUAAAAUUUUGGCUGGUGGAAUUGAUAGGCGGCCGGUUACGUUCAUCGAUGAAAACGUCGCCCAAGGUCUUCAACUGGUCCUAGAUAAUCGUUCAAUUAAGGUUAGCAGGGUAACAGAGGCUGUGACUAUGUCUAAAGAAUGUGACAUAAGAAAGUGCCGAAUGCAACGUGUAGUUUUUGCUCAAAGGUGUAAAAAUUGUCGAUAUGCCUCAAGAUGUUCGCAUUGUCUGUUGAACAUAAAGAUCGUAGGUAGGUAUCGGAAGGAUGAAGGGACGGACAGACAAGCUUGUAUGGGAAAAUAAAGCGGUAUAAUAAAAAAGUGGUCCUUCUGUAAGUUCUUGUAAAUCUGCACGAAACUAAUAUAUAACGUAGGCUGUUAAGUGUAAGAAGACAUUAAGGAUUAAGAAGCAAUUCUUGUGUUAAAUUAAGUUUUAAGCGGGUGUCUUUCAGCUCAGAAACAAGUUGAAUAUUUCAAUAUAUUUUUUGGAUAAUGCGUUUGGCUCAUUAGCCGAAUAGGUUUUUAUGGGUUUGAUCUAAGUUCAUCAAGAAAGAGAUAGCAUUACUGCUAACUAUGGGAAUAUACUAGUUCACCCCGGGCAUAUUUCAAAAGGGAUGGAAGUUCAAGUUGCGAUUUGAAAAAAGUACUUAGGAUCAUCUAUUUUGUGAUCGAGAAAGUAAAGGUAAGCAAAAGGCGGGUUUGAUUGAGAUUUAGAUCAAAUUUUUUCUUCUUAAUGCAUUGUUUGGACCUUGCCAUUAUCUUUGGAAUACUAUACAUGCGUAAUUGUACAGCGUAUAGAAAUUGUUAAAACGUAUUGCGAAAACAAUAAGUCCGUGUUUACGUUUCGUGCACGUGAUGAAGCUUAUGUUUGGUUACAUGGCUUCCUAAAUGAGAAAAGUUGACCAUUUAGUCGAAAGAAAAUAAAUCCGUUGUUUCUAAAAAGCCCGUUCUUGCACAAAAAUGAAGUUUUGGGUGUGGUUUGCAGGCUGAAAGAUUGAUAAAUGGUUUUGCAAAACGCUGCAACAUACCAUACAUCCUGUGGUACCAUCAAAUUAUUGCGAGAAAAAUACAAUAACAAUGUAAUGUUGAGCAUUGGCGUACUUCAAUAAGCCGUGAAUUCUCAAUGACCUUAUUUGCCAAGAUUAUCUGUGUUGCUAGUGAAAUGAGAAGUGACUUAUGUGGAAAAGCGCCAAAAAUUGGCAUUCCACGAUUUCAGUCUUACAGAAGUUCAGAUGCGCUCAUUUUCACAAAAUCGUUUAUAACUGUCAGAAUGGCAUGAAUUAGUUUUUGAAAUAAAAAAAAUUGAUGUUGAUAUCUGUCAUCGUUUAAUUUUUAUUACAAUUUAAAACAAGUGAAAGCGCUACAAUGAGUCAUGGUCCAUUAUUAAAUCACGCAACAAAUAAAGCGUUAUACGGGAAGUGGUCAAAAAAGUGUGCCGACCCGAACUAUUUUCAGUAGGAUUCUCCCUUCGUCGGUUUAAGUUAAUAAAAUAGCAAUUAUAGUUUUUGAUCAGAAUAAUAGUCGAUUAGUAGCAAUUCAAAAUACUAAAGCGAUCGUGCUAAUGUUGGAUUAUCAGCUGCGAAUCCACUUCAGACGCAUUGAGGUAGAUAAUGACCUAAGUAAGGAAUUGCUGAUAAUAAAUUUGUAUCAACUGCAGUUCCUCAAAAAGAUACUUGACCUCAAGGUAGUACAUACUCUAUACAAAGCCGUAGCUAUUACUAAAAAUAGAAUCAUGUUGGUGUGUGUAAAUGUGAAUAAAAUAAAAUUCCUCGUCCAAUAUGAAAAUAAAUGCAAAUGAGAACAAGUAAGAAGGCCAUAUUCGGCGGGGGCCGAAUCUCGCAUACCCACCACCACUAUGUUAUUCGCACUCUACUAUUCAAGUUCUUUUAUUUGAUACCCAUAUCGUUGAUACUGUUAAGAAAAAAUUACUCACGGUGUCCACCAUACUCGUUUUAAAAUUGACCCAUUUUUAUUCAGAUAAUAUAUUUGAGUUGAGGAGUACAAAAUAGUUUUAAUCAUAAACGCUCAAAAAACCUAACUACAUGUAACUUUGUGUGGGCAUGGCCGAAUAUAUCCGUUUUUGCGCGUAAACAGUACAGUAUUUCGUAAAAUAAACUCGGAAUAUUUCAGCCUGGCAACUUUAAUAAUUUCCGAGUAACGAGGAAAAAUCCAAAAUUUUUUGUUAAAAAACCGAGUUGCGUUCAAUUUACGCUCCACUGCGCUGUUCUGCUCUGACCAAUUUGGCCCAUUUUCAAUGCCAACCUGCGUGGACAAACUUCCAACGAAACUUCUACGAAAUUUGAAAUCGAUAUUUUCAUUUUUGCGACCAGCAGAGUGCCAACAACACACACCACACGGAUAUACAGACGUGGGUAAAGCAACUCAGAAUCUCAAGCUGAUCAAGAAUAUGUACACUUUAGAGGGUCUCUGGAGCUUUCUUUUGGGAGUUACAUAUAUUAUGAAAAAAAAAAAAAAAAAAAAA